rnacentral:lncRNA from 10 species
CCCAAAUCGGAAUCAAACCCUGCAUUUUCAUUUCAUCCCCAGAGGACUCCUGUGCAUACUGCAGUUUAAGCAGCUCUGCUUCAGAAUUACAAAGGCCGAAGCUAAGGGCCAUGGGACCGGUUCUAGCAAAAGCCUGGAAAGGAGGCAACUUGUCCCCUGGUGUGAGAUUUUCCAUGCUUGCUCCUCCUACUGCUGUGAACCCCAAAGCCUCAGGUUGCUGGAAGAUUGCAUAAGCCUGGGACUGAGUAAGACCUUGGAUGGCCCUGAAACGUUGGCUGUAAGUUUUGGGAACAAAAAAUAAACUGCCACAGUUGUAUGUUUCAGAAAACUUGGUGUUGCCUAUUAUGGCAUCAUAAACCAGCCUUUCUGACUGACACACACAUAUAUCAAAUAUAAUUGUCAAAAACUAAGUAUGCUGUGGCUGAAACUUUGUAAGAUUUGUGUUGUUGCCAUGGCAAAACUCUGUCUCUACUAAAAUACAAAAAUUAGCUGGGUGUGGUGGUGGGUGCCUAUAAUCUCAGCUACUCAGGAGGCUGAGGCAGGAGAAUCGCUUGAACCCGGGAGGCAGAGGUUGCAGUGAGCCAAGAUCGCACCAUUGCACUCCAGCCUGGGCGACAGAGUGAGACUCUGUCUCAAAAAAUAAAUAAAUAAAUAAAUAAAUAAAUAGAUAAAUAAAUAAAUAGAUUUGUAUUGUUGCUUAGUUUUAAAAUUAACUACUAUUUUGC